rnacentral:sRNA from 1 species
UGUACAGAUCCUGUAGUGUGUGUUCCAUCCAGUUUCUUUAUUGGAGACAGUGGAAUUCCCUUGGAAGUAAUAGCAGGAAGUGUUUCUGCAGAUGAACUUGUUACAAGAAUUCACAAGGUCCGACAGAUGCAUUUGCUAAAAAGUGAAACAUCAGUAGCAAAUGGCAGUCAGUCAGAAAGUUCAGUGUCUACUCCAUCUGCGUCAUUUGAACCUAACAACACUUGUGAAAACUCUCAGUCCAGAAAUGCAGAGCUUUGUGAGAUACCACCCACUUCUGAUACAAAGUCAGAUACUGCAACAGACUAACAAAAAAACUUGAAGAAAGGAGAGAAGAGAAAAGAAAAGAGGAAGAACAGAGAGAAAUUAAGAAGGAAAUUGAGAGGAGAAAAACUGGAAAAGAAAUGUUGGAUUAUAAAAGAAAACAAGAAGAAGAAUUAACAAAAAGAAUGCUGGAGGAAAGAAACAGAGAAAAAGCAGAAGAUAGGGCAGCUCGAGAACGUAUAAAACAGCAGAUUGCAUUGGACCGUGCAGAGAGAGCUGCUCGUUUUGCAAAGACAAAGGAAGAAGUAGAGGCUGCCAAAGCUGCUGCCUUGCUAGCCAAACAGGCAGAAAUGGAAGUCAAGAGGGAAUCUUAUGCAAGAGAAAGAAGCACUGUUGCAAGAAUUCAAUUCCGUCUUCCUGAUGGUUCUUCCUUUACAAAUCAGUUCCCUUCUGAUGCUCCUCUAGAAGAGGCAAGGCAGUUUGCUGCACAGACUGUUGGCAACACUUACGGUAAUUUUUCGUUAGCAACCAUGUUUCCCAGGAGGGAAUUUACCAAAGAAGAUUAUAAAAAGAAGUUACUGGAUUUGGAACUUGCCCCAAGCGCUUCGGUGGUACUGUUGCCAGCAGGAAGACCAACUGCAUCCAUUGUACACUCUUCCAGCGGAGACAUUUGGACCUUGUUGGGAACAGUGCUUUAUCCAUUCCUUGCCAUCUGGAGAUUAAUUAGCAAUUUCUUGUUUAGUAAUCCGCCUCCCACACAGACUUCAGUGAGAGUAACAUCGUCAGAACCCCCAAACCCUGCAUCAUCUAGCAAAUCAGAAAAAAGGGAACCAGUGAGAAAAAGAGUGCUGGAAAAGCGUGGAGACGACUUUAAAAAGGAGGGGAAAAUUUAUAGAUUAAGGACUCAAGAUGAUGGUGAAGAUGAAAACAACACUUGGAAUGGAAAUUCCACUCAACAGAUGUAGUGUGACAAGUAUAAUAUGUGCAAUAAUCAUUGUUUCUCUUAUGAUUUAAUUCAACUAAAAUUCUACUGGAGAAGUGGGACUGCUUUAUAUUUUCCAACUGGUCUAUAAAAUGUCUCUUUAUUCCUGCUUAGUGGGUGUGGGUUGAAGGUGUUUAACUCAGAAAAGUAAAGACAGGAAAUAACUCUCUGCUAGGUCCUUGCUUAUAUGGCAACCACUGCUAGAACCCUAAAAGAACCAAAAAGUCUGCCGCAGCCUGCCUCCAUCAGCUUCUUAUUUAGUAUUUCAUAUGCCCAUUAGCCCUAUGCUUCAGAUGACACGUUUUGUUUAGAGCUACUUUGCUCCAAGACUCUUAAGCCCAAAGUAACUGGUAUGUCACUGAGUAACUUGACUCGGUGUCAGAGCAUUUUAACUAGCCACUCAGAUGAGAAUUUAUGUUUAACUUCUCUUUUUACUCAUCAGCUGCAAGCAAAAUCUUGUAGUUUUUAAUCUUAAACACUGAAUAAAAAAACUUUCCCCUAAAUUGGAAUGAUCUUAGUUUUGCUUUGAGUUUUGUUAUCUAGCAUCUUUUUGUUGCACAGGGCUCUAUUGAGGUCCUAUGUCUCUGAUUUUUUUUUCCCCCAGUAUUGCCCUGGAGCUGUCUCUGGAAAGUAGCUGGCUAGGUUACCUUAACUAUCACUGAAGAAAGAAAUUUUCUGACACACUGAUGGCAUGUGACUUGUCUCCUAAGUCAGUGAGGCAUCACUUUGUUUGCAUAAAGUAUACGGUUUGCUAAGGCCUUUGUUCUUGUGAGAUGCAAAACAGCUGCUAGUCUGCAACCUAGUUUUCCCUCUCACCUUUAACUGAAGUUUUGUCCUCAAUAAUUACACAAGGACCUAGAGUACCUAUAGGACAAAAAGUAUAGAAUAAAAAUAUGCCUUUAGUCAUUUGGUUUUUCUUAAAAAGUUGAGAUUCUUAAUCUGACUUAGAUGUUACUUUAUCCAUAUGUCUUUGUUAGUGGAGACCGCUAAACUAAUGAUGUUUGAAAACAGUUCCUCUGUUUUAGAUUGGAAGAUAGCACUCUAGAGUGGACAUACGGAAAGACUGUGACUUUAUUUUGUAAUGGGAGGAAGAAAUUUUCUCAGAGCAAACUUUCUGUUUUUUACCUGUGAAAUAACAGUGACUUUUAAAAAUGGUGACAGUGUUGGCAAGGAAACAGCAACACAGGCUGCGCUGUUGGUAGGAGUGAAAACCAGUAUAAUUCUUCUGAAAAACAUUUAUCAGAAACUUAAAAUAUUUCAUACCGUUUGAUCCAGUAGCUUCUUCUAAAUCAUAAAUGCAGACAAUGUUUAGGUAAAGACAUACUCAUUAAGUGUUAUUUAUUUUACUCAAGAACUGGAAACCAACUAAAUGCCUUCUAUAGAAGUAAUUUUUGAUGAGGAGAAAUGGUACAAUACUAAUUAACAACUUGGUUUAACAUGUUUACUGAGCAUCUGUUAAGUGUUGGGGGAAAAAGCAGCAGGAUCUAUAGGUAUAGGUACAGUGUGAUCUCAGCUUUGCAAACACAUUUUCUACAUAGAUAGUACUAGGUAUUAAUAGAUAUGUAAAGAAAGAAAUCACACCAAAACAUUAAUAAUGGUAAGAUUGGUUUAUGUGAUUUUAGUGGUAUUUUUGGCACCCUUAUAUAUGUUUUCCAAACUUUCGGCAGUGAUAUUAUUUCCAUAACUUAAAAAGUGAGUUUGAAAAAGAAAAUCUCCAGCAAGCAUCUCAUUUAAAUAAAGGUUUGUCAUCUUUAAAAAUACAGCAAUAUGUGACUUUUUAAAAAAGCUGUCAAAUAGGUGUGACCCUACUAAUAAUUAUUAGAAAUACAUUUAAAAACAUCGAGUACCUCAAGUCAGUUUGCCUUGAAAAAUAUCAAAUAUAACUCUUAGAGAAAUGUACAUAAAAGAAUGCUUCGUAAUUUUGAAGUAGGAGGAUCCCUCCUCAAUUUUGUAUUUUUAAAAAGUACAUGGUAAAAAAAAAAAUUCACAACAGUAUAUAAGGCUGUAAAAUGAGAAUUCUGCCCCCUCACCUCUUACCCCAGUACUAUUCUCCAGAGGUAAUCUAUUAACAAUUUCUUAUGUAAUUUUCAGAAAAUUUGUAUGCGUAUAUAAGCAAAUAUGUAAUCUUUAUUUUUUAAAUAAAUGGGAUCAUAUUAU